GGGGGAUCUUCGGACCUCGCGCUACAGGGGCGGCCGAUGGCAGAUUAGCUAGUUGGUGGGGUAAAGGCCUACCAAGGCGACGAUCUGUAGCUGGUCUGAGAGGACGACCAGCCACACUGGGACUGAGACACGGCCCAGACUCCUACGGGAGGCAGCAGUGGGGAAUUUUGGACAAUGGGCGAAAGCCUGAUCCAGCAAUGCCGCGUGUGUGAAGAAGGCCUUCGGGUUGUAAAGCACUUUUGUCCGGAAAGAAAACCUCGUGGUUAAUACCCGUGGGGGAUGACGGUACCGGAAGAAUAAGCACCGGCUAACUACGUGCCAGCAGCCGCGGUAAUACGUAGGGUGCAAGCGUUAAUCGGAAUUACUGGGCGUAAAGCGUGCGCAGGCGGUUCGCUAAGACAGAUGUGAAAUCCCCGGGCUUAACCUGGGAACUGCAUUUGUGACUGGC
rnacentral:rRNA from 1 species